rnacentral:rRNA from 1 species
AUUGAACGCUGGCGGCAUGCCUUACACAUGCAAGUCGAACGGUAACAGGUCUUCGGAUGCUGACGAGUGGCGAACGGGUGAGUAAUACAUCGGAACGUGCCUAGUAGUGGGGGAUAACUACUCGAAAGAGUGGCUAAUACCGCAUGAGAUCUACGGAUGAAAGCAGGGGAUUGCAAGACCUUGUGCUACUAGAGCGGCCGAUGGCAGAUUAGGUAGUUGGUGGGAUAAAAGCUUACCAAGCCGACGAUCUGUAGCUGGUCUGAGAGGACGAUCAGCCACACUGGGACUGAGACACGGCCCAGACUCCUACGGGAGGCAGCAGUGGGGAAUUUUGGACAAUGGGCGCAAGCCUGAUCCAGCAAUGCCGCGUGCAGGAUGAAGGCCUUCGGGUUGUAAACUGCUUUUGUACGGAACGAAAAGUCCUGGGUUAAUACCCUGGGGUCAUGACGGUACCGUAAGAAUAAGCACCGGCUAACUACGUGCCAGCAGCCGCCGUAACAC